rnacentral:tRNA from 1 species
GGGGUUGUGGCUCAGGGAUAGAGCGCUUGCUUAGUAUGCAUGAGAUCUUGGAUUCAAUCCUCAGCACCACA